rnacentral:rRNA from 1 species
GUCUACGGCCAUGCCACCCCGAACGUGCCUGAUCUCGGCUGAUCUCGGAAGCUAAGCAUGGCCGCGCCCGGUGAGUACUUGGAUGGGAGACCACCUAGGAAGACCAGGUGCUGAAGGCG